rnacentral:rRNA from 1 species
UGAGGUGAAACUCAAUGGAGGACCGAACCGACUACCGUUGAAAAGUUAGCGGAUGACUUGUGGCUAGGGGAGAAAUUCCAAUCGAACCCGGAGAUAGCUGGUUCUCCCCGAAAUAGCUUUAGGGCUAGCGUCGGAAAGAACCUUAGUGAAGGUAGAGCACUGAAUGUGUGAUGGCCCCAUCCCGGGGUACUGAAUACAAUCAAACUGCGAAUGUCAUUAAGGAUGUCCGGCAGUCAGACUGUGAGUGAUAAGGUCCAUGGUCAAGAGGGAAACAGCCCAGACCGCCAGUUAAGGUCCCAAAAUACAGGCUAAGUGGAAAAGGAUGUGGGGAUGCCCAGACAACUAGGAGGUUGGCUCAGAAGCAGCCAUCCUUCAAAGAGUGCGUAACAGCUCACUAGUCGAGUGACCCUGCGCCGAAAAUGUACCGGGGCUAAGCCUGAUACCGAAACUGCGGAUUGUAGGAAACUAUAGUGGUAGGGGAGCGUUGUAUACGAGUGGAAGCCGUACCGUGAGGAGCGGUGGAUUGUAUAGAAGUGAGAAUGCCGGUGUGAGUAGCGAGAUGUAGGUGAGAAUCCUACACACCGAAAGCCCAAGGAUUCCAGGGGAAGGUUCGUCCGCCCUGGGUAAGUCGGGACCUAACGCGAGGCCGAAAGGCGUAGUGGAUGGAAAGCAGGCGAAAGAUUCCUGCACCCGUAUAUGGAGCGAAGGAGUGACGGAGACGGAUAGUGUGACCCUCUUAAUGGAUUGAGGGCGAAGCGAAGCGGCUGGUUACCAGGCAAAUCCGGUAACCAUAAGGCUAGAGCGUGAUAGGUAAGCGAAAUCUUAGGAAAGUAGCGAAGCACAUGAUGACGGCUUCCAGGAAAAGCUUCUGGCAAUGCAUAUGCGGCCCGUACCAAAACCGACACAGGUGGGCAGGGAGAGAAUCCCGAGGUGAGCGAGAGAACUGUUGCCAAGGAACUCGGCAAAAUGACUCCGUAAGUUAGCGAGAAGGAGUGCUUAAGCAAUUAAGCCGCAGUGAAGAGGCCCAAGCGACUGUUUAACUAAAACACAGCUCUCUGCGAAGUCGCAAGACGAAGUAUAGGGGGUGACACCUGCCCGGUGCUGGAAGGUUAAGAGGAUCUGUUAAGAGCGAUCUGAAGCAGUGAUCCGAAGCCCCAGUGAACGGCGGCCGUAACUAUAACGGUCCUAAGGUAGCGAAAUUCCUUGUCAGGUAAGUUCUGACCCGCACGAAAGGUGUAACGAUUUGGGCGCUGUCUCGGCAGCAGACUCGGUGAAAUCUUAGUACCUGUGAAAAUGCAGGUUACCCGCAACUAGACGGAAAGACCCCAUGGAGCUUUACUGCAGCCUGAUAUUGAAUUCUGGUCAUACAUGUACAGGAUAGGUGGGAGACAAAGAGACGUGCACGCCAGUGUACGAGGAGUCGACGUUGGGAUACCACUCUUGUGUGACCGGGGUUCUAACCUGGUAUCGAGAACAGGUACGGGGAGAGUGUCAGGUGGGCAGUUUGACUGGGGCGGUCGCCUCCCAAAGAGUAACGGAGGCGCCCAAAGGUACGCUCAGAUUGGAUGGAAACCAAUCGACGAGUGCAAUUGCAGAAGCGUGCUUGACUGUGAGACUUACAAGUCGAACAGGGACGAAAGUCGGGAAUAGUGAUCCGGCGGUGCCGAAUGGAAGGGCCGUCGCUCAACGGAUAAAAGC